GACGAACGCUGGCGGCGUGCUUAACACAUGCAAGUCGAACGGAGUGGCGAACGGGUGUGUAACACGUGGGUGACCUCCCCUGCACUCCGGGAUAAGCCUGGGAAACUGGGUUUAAUAACGGCUAUUGUGGGAUGGGCCCGCGGCCUAUCAGCUGGUUGGUGGGGUAAUGGCCUACCAAGGCGGCGACGGGUAGCCGGCCUGAGGGGGGGGACGGCCACAUUGGGACUGAGAUGCGGCCCAGACUCCUACGGGAGGCAGCAGUGGGGAAUAUUGCACAAGGGUCGGAAGGCUGAUGCAGCGCCGCCGCGUGGGGGAUGACGGCCUUCGGGUUGUAAACUCCUUUCACCAUCGACGCGGUAGAUGGAGAAGAAGCACCGGCUAACUACGUGCCAGCCGCCGCGGUAAUUC
rnacentral:rRNA from 1 species